rnacentral:rRNA from 1 species
GUACACUCCUACGGGAGGCAGCAGUGGGGAAUUUUACGCAAUGGGGGAAACCCUGACGUAGCGACACCGCGUGAGCGAAGAAGCCCUUUGGGGUGUAAAGCUCUGUCAGCUGGAACGAAAACAAUGACGGUACCAGCAGAGGAAGCAUCGGCUAACUACGUGCCAGCAGCCGCGGUAAGACGUAGGAUGCGAGCGUUGUCCGGAUUUAUUGGGCGUAAAGAGUUCGUAGGUGGUUUGUUAAGUUUGGUGUUAAAGAUCGGGGCUCAACCCUGGGACUGCACUGAAUACUGGCAGACUCGAGUGUGGUAGAGGCUAGUGGAAUUCCCAGUGUAGCGGUGAAAUGCGUAGAUAUUGGGAAGAACACCGGUGGCGUAGGCGACUAGCUGGGCCAUAACUGACGCUGAGGAACGAAAGCCAGGGGAGCGAAUGGGAUUAGAAACCCGGGUAGUCCCAUGA